GGGCAGGAACAGAGGCGGCUGCGGGUGCCGACCGGGCUCUUUGUGGGGAGCCGGGAUGGGAAGACGAGCUGGGCCCGGGUUUAGCCACAAGCGUUCUCUUCAACCAAAUUUCUUUUUUUUUCCUUUUGACAAUAUCCACCAAAUAGAAGAGGGGAAAUAAAUUUGGGAGCCACUCAGAAAAGGUAGGCAUUUGCAUGUGGCCAAGAAAACAGGCGAAGAAAUAAGGCAGACAAAAACUUAAUGGGCUUAACUCUGCAGCUUGGACUUUUCUUUUUAUAUUUUAACUGCCCUAUGAAAUUAAUGUCAAUUCCUUUCUCAUUAGCCAAGCCAUUGAGCUCACCUCUAACCUGCUCGAUCUGCAGUUUGGGCCUGUCACGUGGGCAGCAAUCAAUCGCCUUGAGUUUUUCAUUUCCUUCCCAAGAGAAGUAAACAGGAUGAGGGCCCCUCGUGAACACCUGCCGAACAGGAAGAUGGGGGAAAUGGUUCAACAUCCUCUUAAAGCAUCAAGGAGGCCAAACCAGGACACAGGUGCCUCUCAAUCUUGGCCCCUUGAAGAUAUGUGGGCUUCAAUUCCCAGAAUUCCUCAGCUGCCAACAGGUAGUCCUCGUUUAGCAAUGGCCUCAUUUAGCGACCGUUAAUGUUGCGACCAGUUCUCGCCACUUACGACCUCGGCAGGUCUGUAAAGCGAAGGAAAGCUGAAGGAAGAUUGUAAGGUGGUUUCACUUAGUGACUGCUUUGGUCGAUGGCAGAAUUGCCGCUCGCAGGUGCAGUCACUAAACGAAGACAGCCUGUAAAGAAAUGGCCAAGGAAAAGGCAGCCUUUUCUCCCAUCUAUGCCCGUAAUAAAUUCAUUAAAGUGCACUCCUUUAUCUA